rnacentral:rRNA from 1 species
GAUGAACGCUGGCGGCGUGCCUAAUACAUGCAAGUCGAGCGAACGGACGAGAAGCUUGCUUCUCUGAUGUUAGCGGCGGACGGGUGAGUAACACGUGGAUAACCUACCUAUAAGACUGGGAUAACUUCGGGAAACCGGAGCUAAUACCGGAUAAUAUUUUGAACCGCAUGGUUCAAAAGUGAAAGACGGUCUUGCUGUCACUUAUAGAUGGAUCCGCGCUGCAUUAGCUAGUUGGUAAGGUAACGGCUUACCAAGGCAACGAUGCAUAGCCGACCUGAGAGGGUGAUCGGCCACACGGGAACUGAGACACGGUCCAGACGCCUACGGGAGGCAGCAGUAGGGAAUCUUCCGCAAUGGGCGAAAGCCUGACGGAGCAACGCCGCGUGAGUGAUGAAGGUCUUCGGAUCGUAAAGCUCUGUUAUUAGGGAAGAACAUAUGUGUAAGUAACUGUGCACAUCUUGACGGUACCUAAUCAGAAAGCCACGGCUAACUACGUG